GCAUCAGUGGUGUAAUGGUUAACAUGUGGUCUUCCCAUCAUCAUAGCGAAACUUUCCAGUGGCCGCGUUCGGGGUUCGAUUCCCCGCUGAUGCA
rnacentral:tRNA from 1 species